rnacentral:rRNA from 1 species
AUUGAACGCUGGCGGCAGGCCUAACACAUGCAAGUCGAACGAGUGGCGGACGGGUGAGUAAUGUCUGGGAAACUGCCUGAUGGAGGGGGAUAACUACUGGAAACGGUAGCUAAUCCCGCAUACCAUCGGAUUUGCCCAGAUGGGAUUAGCUAGUAGGUGGGGUAAAGGCUCACCUCGGCGACGAUCCCUAGCUGGUCUGAGAGGAUUAAAAGCCACACUGUAACUGAGACACGGUCCAGACGCCGACGAGAGGCAGCAGUGGGGAAUAUUGCACAAUGGGAGCGAGCGUGAGGCAGCCAUGCCGCGUGUAUGAAGAAGGCCUUCGGGUUGUAAAGUACUUUCAGCGGGGAGGCGGUACCCGCAGAAGAAGCACCGGCUAACUCCGUGCCAGCAGCCGCGGUAAUAC